UAGGGAAUCUUCCGCAAUGGGCGAAAGCCUGACGGAGCAACGCCGCGUGAGUGAUGAAGGUCUUCGGAUCGUAAAACUCUGUUAUUAGGGAAGAACAUAUGUGUAAGUAACUGUGCACAUCUUGACGGUACCUAAUCAGAAAGCCACGGCUAACUACGUGCCAGCAGCCGCGGUAAUACGUAGGUGGCAAGCGUUAUCCGGAAUUAUUGGGCGUAAAGCGCGCGUAGGCGGUUUUUUAAGUCUGAUGUGAAAGCCCACGGCUCAACCGUGGAGGGUCAUUGGAAACUGGAAAACUUGAGUGCAGAAGAGGAAAGUGGAAUUCCAUGUGUAGCGGUGAAAUGCGCAGAGAUAUGGGAGGAACCCCCAGUGGCGAAGGCGACUUUCUGGUCUGUAACUGACGCUGAUGUGCGAAAGCGUGGGGAUCAAACAGGAUUAGAUACCCUGGUAGUCCACGCCGUAAACGAUGAGUGCUAAGUGUUAGGGGGUUUCCGCCCCUUAGUGCUGCAGCUAACGCAUUAAGCACUCCGCCUGGGGAGUACGACCGCAAAGUUG
rnacentral:rRNA from 1 species